UGUGUGGUGUGUUUGUGUGUAGUGUGUUAGGGUGUGGGGUGUGUAUGUGGUGUGUGUUUGUGUGUACAUAAAGUUGGUUUAUAAAGAGUUAAUGGCAGAAGAUUAUAAAAUGACUUUAAAAAGUACAUUCAUUUCCUCCCAUUCAUUUUUAAAUGUAAUUUUUAAGACUAAUGUCCAACUAAAAAUAACAUACACUCUGGAAUUCAUUUUGCUUAAAGAAACCUACACAAAGGAGACAGACCCUAGAGGCAUCCUGGCCUUAUUCAGUUUCCAUUCUGGGAUAGUUACAAUGUAAAUCUGACUAACCAAAGAUAUCCCUCCAAUUCUUGAGCAAGUAACAAACUAAGUUUUAUGGUCACAUAACAGU
rnacentral:lncRNA from 1 species